CAGCAGCCGCGGUAAUACGUAGGUGGCAAGCGUUGUCCGGAAUUACUGGGCGUAAAGCGCGUGUAGGCGGGUCCUUAAGUCAGGGGUGAAAUGCCAAGGCUCAACCUUGGAACUGCCUUUGAUACUGGGGAUCUUGAGUCCGGGAGAGGUGAGUGGAACCGCGAGUGUAGAGGUGAAAUUCGUAGAUAUUCGCAAGAACACCAGUGGCGAAGGCGGCUCACUGGCCCGGAACUGACGCUGAGACGCGAAAGCGUGGGGAGCAAACAGGAUUAGAUACCCGCGUAGUCCCUGUCUCUUAUAC
rnacentral:rRNA from 1 species